UUUUUCUGCUCAGGGCAAGUACCACUAAACAUGGUCUCUGACAUAGAGGAGGCACUCAAAAGAUUUUGUGCAAUGAAUGGUUGAGAUAGGAAUGCCAAGUUGCUUGCUUAGUGUAUUUAAGCAUUAAAGGGCCUGGGUAUUUAGAUUCUCAGUUUCAGUAUGACUUGUCUUAUAUGUGUUUAGGAACACUUGCUGGGAUAUUAGUUAUGAUGUUCCAUGGUGUUUCAUUCCUGUCACCAACCCCAGAUCCUCCAGCUGAUCCAGAAAUGUGUCUGAAAGCUGUCCUGUGAAGAUGGAAAGGUAGCAAAUGCUGAUUAAAACAACUAUUUCCUAAAAUGGCGAUAUUUGGGGUACAUAUUUCAAAGUCACCCGCAUGCCAUGCUGGCAGGUGUGAGAAAUUGUGGCGUCAAUCAACCAUUUCAAGACAAAGCAGACAAGCCAGGAGCCAGCCCCAGGUCUCCAUUCUCGCAGAGUUGUCUGGAGUGGUGUGUGUUUCCACUCCUUGCACGUUCUCCAAGUGCCCCCAAGCUUCCCUGGGAAGAGGGGUUCCUGCAGCCACCGACAGGUGGAAGGUCCAACAGACCUCCUUGUUGCCAACUUUCAACAGGUUUGUUUUGUCAGCAUAAUUAAAACUGGUGCGGGGCAUUCUUCUCAUUAAUUUCUGAACUGGUCAAGAAACAGAAAUUUCCCUGGGAUUAUUCUAAUUU